CCCAGCCCAAUAUCAAUGUGUAUAGUCAAAACCCUAAACCCAAGAUCUCCAUUGCUUCCUGAAGCGUACUCUAAGCAAUCCCAAUAGCCAUGUCCGCCACCGCAGCAGCCAGGUCUGUCCUGCGCUCCAACGCUGUUCGAACUGUCCGACUCGUCUCCGGACCCAAAAGCGGACCAGGAAGCAAACCAGUUUUCUCCCCAUUUCGCAUCUCGAAGCAGAAUCCCCUCUCUCAGCGCAUUUUCAGGUCACCAGUGGAACUCAGCUGUUGUGUGGAGACGAUGCUUCCAUAUCAUACUGCGACUGCUUCCGCGUUGCUCAAUUCAAUGCUAUCUGCCUCUCGCCGCAGCUAUGGUUGGACCCCUGAAGAUUGCAAUGAUGAUGUAUGAUGAAUGUCAGAGGAUUCGAGCAAAGUUUUUGUACAUGACUCAAUGAGAAGAUGGAUGAUUGCUGGUUAUUUGAAUGUGGUGCAUUGGUCAAUUAGUUAUCAUGGAUUUCAAUGGACUUUCUUAGUCUUGCUCGAGACAUUAUUCUCCUUGGCGAACGGAAUGAGGUUAAUCCAAUGGUUCAUCUGCAAGCAUAUGCAAGUAGGUACUUUUGGAAAUAGGCACAUUUUGUAAUUUCCCAGGUGCUGAAAGUUGUUCGUUACCAAAAAUGGAUUUUUUGUUCUCCCCUUUUUGUUAAAUUGAUAAGGUUGUACUGCUGUAGCUCCAUACUCGAAAACCCACCAGAACAACCUCAAUGGGAUCUGAAGCUGAGAUUUCAAAUUAGAGAUAUUAAUGCUUAGGCAAUUAGCCAAUUAGGUGUUGCUUUUGCUUCCAUA